rnacentral:rRNA from 1 species
UACGUAGGGUGCAAGCGUUAAUCGGAAUUACUGGGCGUAAAGCGUGCGCAGGCGGUGAUGUAAGACAGAUGUGAAAUCCCCGGGCUCAACCUGGGAACUGCAUUUGUGACUGCAUCGCUGGAGUACGGCAGAGGGGGAUGGAAUUCCGCGUGUGGCAGUGAAAUGCGUAGAUAUGCGGAGGAACACCGAUGGCGAAGGCAAUCCCCUGGGCCUGUACUGACGCUCAUGCACGAAAGCGUGGGGAGCAAAAGGG